rnacentral:rRNA from 1 species
UACGUAGGGUCCGAGCGUUGUCCGGAAUUAUUGGGCGUAAAGAGCUCGUAGGCGGCCUGUCGCGUCGGAUGUGAAAGCCCGGGGCUUAACCCCGGGUCUGCAUUCGAUACGGGCAGGCGUAGAGUGUGGUAGGGGAGAUCGGAAUUCCUGGUGUAGCGGUGAAAUGCGCAGAUAUCAGGAGGAACACCGGUGGCGAAGGCGGAUCUCUGGGCCAUUACUGACGCUGAGGAGCGAAAGCGUGGGGAGCGAACAGG